AGAAAAUAAAUAAAGAUCCAGUCUGUUUGUAAUGAGGAACAUGUUUUUGACUGUUCUGCUCUUCUUUAUAAGGGAAUCCCAUCUCUGAAGAACUGCAUUCUGGGUAUGAAGAUGCUGAUGAGCUUCUCUCAGGUUAGAGAGCUGAAGUGCAUAUUCAAUCCAUAAUCCACUCAAAAACAAAAAACAAAAAAAAAAACACACACACACACACAAAAAAAAAAAAACUAAUGUAAUUAGUAAUUCCAUUAUAUAUUUGAUUAAUGACUCAGUACUGUUCAGAUACUGCUGUUUACUUACUUACAUAUUAAUAGUCUGCUCUCCUUUUUUUCAGCAGAAGAGUUCAAUACUGCAUAUUAUGAUGAUGUCACCAAUGGCAGUGGCCUAAAAGGUCAGUGACCUUUUAAAUUGAUCACAUGAUUCAAAUGUUUACAGAGUCUCAGUAUCAUGAUCUGCAACAAGAAUGUUUUUUUUUUUUUUGGCUUUUGUAUCCAAACAUAUUGUGUGUUGAUGCAGAAGAGAUGAAGGAAAUCACACCGGUGUACUAUGAUGAUGUCAUUACUGAUGGACUGAAGCCAGAUCGUGAGACAGGUGUCACUUUGUUAUUUUACAACAGCAUAUAAUAUAUUUUUUAAUUAAAAUAUGACAGUACAUUUAAGAUAGAUAUUUCAAAUUUGUUCUGAAUGUAAUUAUUGUGCGUCUGUGAUGAAUGUGUGAAUUUGUAGAAGAAACACCGGAGAGCUAUGAUGAUGUCAUGACAAGCGGAUGCAACACUGAUAUAAAAAAAGUGGAUGCACCAGAGAAUUAUGAUGAUGUCAUCAUUAAUAGACCUAGCUCUCAAGAGGUAAAAGAGGGAGUUCAGGAGGAGUAUGAUGAUGUGAUGAGUGUCAGUGAAGAUGUGAAAAACCUGUUGGAUUAUGAUGAUGUGGAGUCAAACAAAGAAGUGGGGCAUUCGGCUCAGUGAUCAUCCAUUGCCUCGGUUCAACAAAUCUGAACAAAGUUUGAAUGAUAUUGUUAUUGAUGUCAAAUCUCAGGUUUUUAUAUUUUCCCCCAUUUUUGUUUUAAAACUUUUAAAAGUUCUACAUUAGACACACACACACUCAAAGUCUGUAUCAAAUGUUAUCUUAUGUGAUCAGCUGUUUUUAACCAAUAAAUAAAAAU
rnacentral:lncRNA from 1 species